UAAUAGCGUAUAUUAAAGUUGUUGCAGUUAAAAAGCUCGUAGUCGGAUCUUGGGGUCGGGCAUGCUGUCGGCCUAUGGUCGGACGGUUUUCUCGGCUCUUUCUUUCUGGGGACAGCGUCUCUUAACUGGGGCGUUUGGACGCAGAUCGUUUACUUUGAAAAAAUUAGAGUGUUCAAAGCAGGCUAUCGCUUGAAUACAUUAGCAUGGAAUAAUGGAAUAGGACUGCGGUUCUAUUUUGUUGGUUUCUAGGACCGAAGUAAUGAUUAAUAGGGAUAGUUGGGGCCGUUUAUAUUCCGUUGUCAGAGGUGAAAUUCUUGGAUUUACGGAAGAUAAACUUCUGCGAAAGCAUUCGGCAAGGAUGUUUUCAUUGA
rnacentral:rRNA from 1 species